UUCAGCUCUAUUACUACAUGUGUAAAUAUCAGAAUAGUGCAGCAGAUAAAUGCAUUUAUGUUCUGGGCAAAUUGUGACCUUUUCAACCAACAAACUCCAGUUAAAACCAGUUCUCUUUCUUUGGACUUCUACAAAAACAUUUUUUAUUAAGUCUGCAGCUUGCAUUUGUUGUAUUGUGUUUUUUCUUUUCUUCUUGUAAUGUUUGGGGGAAUUAUCUGUGGACAACUCAGCCAUACGGUGGUUGGUUCGUUUCUACCGCUGUUGGAGUCAAAGGAUUUGAGCAACUCAAACAUCCUGCAGCUGGUGGGAGCUACGUUACCCAUUCUCACCUUGCAGACCUGACACACGUAUGAGAAAAACUGCAGAAAACAAAAGAAGAACGUCCCAUCUACAGACUCUCAAGCCUUCUGGUUUUACUCCUUCCUUUCCAAGUGGGUCAUGCACUCCAUUACGGCUCCAUUUGCUGACUCUUAACUCAGUCUGUUAAAAAAUUCACCCGUAGAUUACAUAACGCUGACAUGUGGGAUGACACAACUGUGGAGGGAGAGUAAUGACAGUACUUACCACUUUCAAAAAGCUUCCUAGUGUCUCUCUCUCACACACACACACACACACACACACACACACACACACACACACACACACACACACACACACACACACACAGUUUGAUGGAGGGAUUUCUAUCCAGUCAGUGAGAACAGGACGUGCACACUGAUUGGACGAGGUUUUUCUACGACUGUAGAUCUCAAUUGUGAUUAAAAUUAUUCUUUAGUUUGAGAAAAAAAGUAUAUUUUUUAGCUCCCAUCAGCAUGUGAGGUAUCUCAAUGUUUCAUGACAAAACUCUAACAUGAGACUGUGCUCUAACCUGUCACAUAACAUAACAAGCUAAAUAAAAUUCAAACAUUUCAAAUGGACCGUAUGACAGCUGCUAACAUUGGCCCUGCCCUACUUUACCUCUACAUUACAGUUCCUUUAUUCAUGUCCAUCCUAGAGCUCCUUUCUGACCUUCAUGCUUAUUUAGAGCAGCUGAUUUUUAAAGUUAGAGUUCAUCCUUGGUAGUGGGUUCACUCACUCAUUUAACCCUUCACCACAGAAAUCAGUGUGUUCAUUCCAAUCCUCCUAAAUAAUCCUCCAAUCAUCCAACUGGAAUCCUUAAGGGUCCCGUAACGUCCAUCCUGUCAGAACAGGCCUUGGGAGCCCAGGUGUUACUACAACUAACGGUGUCUCCUCACCAGCGUGAGCCUCCACACUGUGAAGGUUGGUCUCCAAACAUGAACUUUAAAUUCAUGCAUUUAUCUCCUCUUGUAACACUUUAACAUGUUUUAAAAGGCUUGUAUCAUGAUAAGUUACACCUCCCAGACCAAAGAUAGGUACAAUAUAAGAUAAAACAUUAUCAUAGACACUAUUGAGACGUCAUUAUUUAUGAAAUACAAGUUAUUUUGUUCACCAUUACUUCAGCCAAGAAAUAAGAUGCAUAGAUUUGAUGAAACCAGCGUCUCAUGCAGUCCUAUAUGUGUAAAAAAACCUAUAUUUAUGUUGAUGAAACACACACACACACACAAACACACACACACACACACACACACACACACCACCACCACCACCACCACCACGGUUUAGACGUGGCGCUCAGGCAAUAUUUUUAAUUCAUCAAGCUACAAUUUAUUUUUACUUUCGUUACUUUCUUCCUCUGCUCACUUGUAAACGAGAUGCUUAAUCUCAAGUGGUUUUAUCCUCCUUAAAUAUAAGUCAAGAAACAAAUAAAAAUUAUGCGCAUAUCUCAUUGAUAAUAAUGCAAAUUUAGAGUGGCACACACUUUUUUUGCAAAGUUAUUCACCAUCGUAAAACGGAUUUACGUCGGGAGAGAAACCUAGUGAAAUCAGUUAACUAAUCAGGGAGAGGAAGGUGAGCUGUUGAGGGGAAAAUAACAUGACCUAAGAAUAAAAACAAAACCUAAAGACAAGAAGAGCAAGAUAAAUAAAUAAUGAUCUAAGGAGGGAGGAGAACUAAAAAACCAGUGGGGAAAGAAACACACUAAAAGAGACUAAUUAAAUGAAAAGCUGAACCUAUAGAAAAACUACAGAGGGGUGACUGGGGGAGACCAACGGGA